rnacentral:rRNA from 1 species
UGCAUAUCCAAUAAGCGGAGGAAUUGAAACUAACAAGGAUUCCCCUAGUAGCGGCGAGCGAAGCGGGAAGAGCUCAAAUUUAUAAUCUGGCACCUUCGGUGUCCGAGUUGUAAUCUCUAGAAAUGUUUUCCGCGUUGGACCGCACACAAGUCUGUUGGAAUACAGCGGCAUAGUGGUGAGACCCCCGUAUAUGGUGCGGACGCCCAGCGCUUUGUGAUACAUUUUCGAAGAGUCGAGUUGUUUGGGAAUGCAGCUCAAAUUGGGUGGUAAAUUCCAUCUAAAGCUAAAUAUUGGCGAGAGACCGAUAGCGAACAAGUACCGUGAGGGAAAGAUGAAAAGCACUUUGGAAAGAGAGUUAACAGUACGUGAAAUUGUUGGAAGGGAAACGCUUGAAGUCAGACUUGCUUGCCGAGCAAUCGGUUUGCAGGCCAGCAUCAGUUUUCCGGGAUGGAUAAUGGUAGAGAGAAGGUAGCAGUUUCGGCUGUGUUAUAGCUCUCUGCUGGAUACAUCUUGGGGGACUGAGGAACGCAGUGUGCCUUUUGGCGGGGGUUUCGAC